rnacentral:rRNA from 1 species
CGAAGGGUGCAAGCGUUACUCGGAAUUACUGGGCGUAAAGCGUGCGUAGGUGGUUUGUUAAGUCUGAUGUGAAUGCCCUGGGCUCAACCUGGGAAUGGCAUUGGAUACUGGCGAGCUAGAGUGCGGUAGAGGGCAGUGGAAUUCCCGGUGUAGCAGUGAAAUGCGUAGAGAUCGGGAGGAACAUCUGUGGCGAAGGCGACUGCCUGGACCAGCACUGACACUGAGGCACGAAAGCGUGGGGAGCAAACAGGAUUAGAUACCCUGGUAGUCCACGCCCUAAACGAUGCGAACUGGAUGUUGGGUGCAACUAGGCACUCAGUAUCGAAGCUAACGCGUUAAGUUCGCCGCCUGGGGAGUACGGUCGCAAGACUG